GCUGGGAGGCCUGAAACCUGCAGAGCCGGAGGGACAGCGAUGAAGCCAGAACCCAGCAGUGGGUAUCAGAACGCCUGGACGUUGGCGUGUCAGGAGAGAAACAUCAGAGAGGAAACACCCUGAAGCCAUCGCUGGAAGAACACAAGCCGAUCACGUACACCCAAACAUGCUGAUUGUCUUCAAUGGGGCGA